GACUUCUUAGACAGUAUACAACCAGCUCAGCGAAACCAUGAAGCUCUCGAACCUUUUCAGUUUGCUGUUCGUCUUGAUCCUCUGCCUUGCAGUCUUUUCUGCUGAAGGGACAGGUCACAAAGUUAGAAGACGUUGCUGCCGCAAGAUGAAGAGGUCAAGCAUUUGGGUGAUGGAAAAAAAAAAUAUUGGACGUUUCAAGAGAUACAGUUGUAGGCCUUGCAACAAGAAGAGAGAUUCACACAGAUUCCUUCCAGGACCACUUCCUCAAAUUUGAAGUAAAAUUCCUUCCAGGACCUCUUCCUCAAAUGACCUAGGAAAGUUGACACGUGUUCCAGAAGAAAUGCCCAUGCUCUGAGAUCCUCUCUUUUGUCUCUCAAAUGAUCCUGACUCACUAAAACCCGUUCGUUCAUAGCGUAUGCCUGAUUUUUCCAGCAAGGGUUCCAGAGACUUCAGGCUGUUGGUUGGCAUUUGUUCCCCACUGCUGACCUUCAAGUAUGGCAGAUAAAUAUUUCCCCAGACAGGAGCCCGGGGUCGAAUCCACAUUUACCCAUUACCCGCAUGUUUAUCGGAUAUCUUCCGUUUGCCUCCAAUCCGCAAUUUUUUCCUCUUCGUUCACAUUCCUGCUUCCAAUUCGUCUUUCUCGUGCGUCCCUCCGGUCACACGGCCGCUCGAAAACCGCUUUUUUGGGCGGGACCUUUUUUCCCCGCCCAUUUCUUAAAAAAAUUUUUAGCGCACUUUUCCGUUAUUUCGAUCUUGCCUUAUAAAGAAACAUCAUUGAAUAUAAUGAUGCCUCUCUUUCCCCCACUGACAGCACUGAUGGCUCUCUCCCGUUUCUUUUUUGGAAAUUUGGAAGCAUGUGGGAAGCUUUCGUGGACAUUUCCUAUGCAGGACAGUUCAGUGUCUGAAUUUUACUGACGUUUCACUUCCUUGGAGUGUCAUUAUUUUGAUAUUUCAUAAUUUCGAUAUUACAGUAAUAUAAAAUAAAAAAAGUUAAAAAGGAAGUUUUGCGAGUCCAUUCUGAGGGUGGAUUCACCCCAAAAUGAUUUUUCAAACUACCAGAUUUGAUUCAGAAACAGCAUAAUCAAUAAAUCCAAUGCGACUUAGAACGAGUAAUGUGGAUUUGACCUUGCUGUCCACUGCGCAGCAGAUGGGGAGGGAAUAGAGCAACUGCAUUAGCAAUAGCAACUCCUGUUUUGAAUUGAGCACGUGGUGACCAACAGUGGGACUUGAGGAGUCUCAUUGUUUAUGUAGCCUCGCCCUACAAGCCAAAUAAUACAGGGUACGGAGCUCUCUCCCACAAGCUCUCCCACAACACGACAGCUUUCCAUCUGGAGCCCUUCUUAAAGACGAGGCCGCGUGAAGGAUCCCAGAUGGCCCCUUGGGCUGGUGCAGUUGUGCGCUCUCAAAUCAUCCUGGUGGAGGUGAAGAAGACGCCGUGCGUUUUGAUUUUCUACUUGCUGUUGGAUUCAGCCAAGGGGAAGUCGGCCACAUCUAAGGCUGCAAUUCGAAGCGCAUGUCAAGGGGAUGCUAGCUGGCCAGUGUUUUCCUGAUCUGAGCAGGUCUCCCUGUCUCAGUGCAACUUGAUUAGCACUCCUG